UGCGUAGGCGGAAUAAUAAGUCAGUGGUGAAAUCCUGCAGCUCAACCGUAGAACUGCCAUUGAUACUGUUAUUCUUGAAUGUAGUUGAGGUAGGCGGAAUGUGUAAUGUAGCGGUGAAAUGCUUAGAUAUUACACAGAACACCGAUUGCGAAGGCAGCUUGCUAAACUAUUAUUGACGCUGAUGCACGAAAGCGUGGGGAGCGAACAGGAUUAGAUACCCUGGUAGUCC
rnacentral:rRNA from 1 species